rnacentral:rRNA from 2 species
GAUUAAGUUAUUAAGGGCGCACGGUGGAUGCCUUGGCACUAGAAGCCGAUGAAGGACGUUACUAACGACGAUAUGCUUUGGGGAGCUGUAAGUAAGCUUUGAUCCAGAGAUUUCCGAAUGGGGAAACCCAGCAUGAGUUAUGUCAUGUUAUCGAUAUGUGAAUACAUAGCAUAUCAGAAGGCACACCCGGAGAACUGAAACAUCUUAGUACCCGGAGGAAGAGAAAGAAAAUUCGAUUCCCUUAGUAGCGGCGAGCGAAACGGGAAGAGCCCAAACCAACAAGCUUGCUUGUUGGGGUUGUAGGACACUCUAUACGGAGUUACAAAGGACGACAUUAGACGAAUCAUCUGGAAAGAUGAAUCAAAGAAGGUAAUAAUCCUGUAGUCGAAAAUGUUGUCUCUCUUGAGUGGAUCCUGAGUACGACGGAGCACGUGAAAUUCCGUCGGAAUCUGGGAGGACCAUCUCCUAAGGCUAAAUACUCUCUAGUGACCGAUAGUGAACCAGUACCGUGAGGGAAAGGUGAAAAGCACCCCGGAAGGGGAGUGAAAUAGAACCUGAAACCGUGUGCUUACAAGUAGUCAGAGCCCGUUAAUGGGUGAUGGCGUGCCUUUUGUAGAAUGAACCGGCGAGUUACGAUUUGAUGCAAGGUUAAGCAGUAAAUGUGGAGCCGUAGCGAAAGCGAGUCUGAAUAGGGCGUUUAGUAUUUGGUCGUAGACCCGAAACCAGGUGAUCUACCCUUGGUCAGGUUGAAGUUCAGGUAACACUGAAUGGAGGACCGAACCGACUUACGUUGAAAAGUGAGC